rnacentral:rRNA from 1 species
GAUGAACGCUGGCGGCGUGCCUAAUACAUGCAAGUCGAGCGAACGGACGAGAAGCUUGCUUCUCUGAUGUUAGCGGCGGACGGGUGAGUAACACGUGGAUAACCUACCUAUAAGACUGGGAUAACUUCGGGAAACCGUAGCUAAUACCGGAUAAUAUUUUGAACCGCAUGGUUCAAAAGUGAAAGACGGUCUUGCUGUCACUUAUGGAUGGAUCCGCGCUGCAUUAGCUAGUUGGUAAGGUAACGGCUUACCAAGGCAACGAUGCAUAGCCGACCUGAGAGGGGGAGCGCCAACCGUGGAAGUGACACCGGCUCCAGACUCCGACGGGGGGCAGCAGGGGGGACUUUGCCGAAAGGGGCGAAGGCCUGACGGAGCAACGCCGGGUGAGUGAUGAGGGUCUUCGGAUCGAAAAACUGUUUUAUGAGGAAAAAAAAUAUGUGUACGAAACUGUCCACUUCUGGACGGUCCCUAAUAAGAAAGCCACGGCAACCUACGUG